rnacentral:rRNA from 1 species
GAUGAACGCUGGCGGCGUGCCUAAUACAUGCAAGUCGAGCGAACAGACCAGGAGCUUGCUCCUCUGACGUUAGCGGCGGACGGGUGAGUAACACGUGGAUAACCUACCUAUAAGACUGGGAUAACUUCGGGAAACCGGAGCUAAUACCGGAUAAUAUAUUGAACCGCAUGGUUCAAUAGUGAAAGACGGUUUUGCUGUCACUUAUAGAUGGAUCCGCGCCGCAUUAGCUAGUUGGUAAGGUAACGGCUUACCAAGGCAACGAUGCGUAGCCGACCUGAGAGGGUGAUCGGCCACACUGGAACUGAGACACGGUCCAGACUCCUACGGGAGGCAGCAGUAGGGAAUCUUCCGCAAUGGGCGAAAGCCUGACGGAGCAACGCCGCGUGAGUGACGAAGGUCUUCGGAUCGUAAAACUCUGUUAUUAGGGAAGAACAAAUGUGUAAGUAACUAUGCACGUCUUGACGGUACCUAAUCAGAAAGCCACGGCUAACUACGUG